rnacentral:lncRNA from 1 species
AGUUGGAAGAAUUGACAUUGACAAUCGGAUACCCGGAAGUUCUACGAAACAUAUCAGUACUUGAAGCUCGCUACAAAUACGUACCAUUCUUUCCUUUGAAUAUUUCAUUCAUAGAAGCCUUUUAUCAUCUACGAGAAGGCUUAUACAAAAUGCAUUUGAGUAAGCUUUGGAAUCAUAAAAAGAGCAGCUUGGGUCGGGACUACAGUCCAAGAAAUGUUCGGCCGAUUUACGACUUGUCUAGGAACACAGACGAAAUUCCCUACGCACUCUUCGCAUCUCCAUUUUAUCAGCAAGAUCUUCCACGCUCAUUGAACUAUGGGGGCAUAGGCGGUACAAUUGCUCACGAGCUGGCUGCUAGAUUAUUCGCAGGUA